rnacentral:rRNA from 1 species
UACGUAGGGGGCAAGCGUUAUCCGGAUUUACUGGGUGUAAAGGGCGUGCAGCCGGGCUGGCAAGUCAGGCGUGAAAUCCCAGGGCUCAACCCUGGAACUGCGUUUGAAACUGCUGGUCUUGAGUACCGGAGAGGUCAUCGGAAUUCCUUGUGUAGCGGUGAAAUGCGUAGAUAUAAGGAAGAACACCAGUGGCGAAGGCGGAUGACUGGACGGCAACUGACGGUGAGGCGCGAAAGCGUGGGGAGCAA